UUUUCGCACUCCCAAUCUCAAUCCCACGAUCUUCAAACCACUUCCAGCAAACAUAGAACUCAAAUCCUAGAAACAAAAUCAACUUCUUCUAGCUUCUUUCAAACCAUUCCUAGGAAACAUUGAACUCAAACCAUAGAUUCGAAAUCAAUCGUCUUCUAGCUUCAAACUUAAAGGAUCGAACUUCGAUAGAAAUCGUUCCUCUAUAAUCAAACUCAGAGCAAUCAGAACUCAGAGAAAUCGAAGUUAGAGCAAUCGUUUCCCAUUAAUCGUUCCUCUUCUCAAAUCACACUCAUCUUCUCCAAUCACCCUCGUCAAUCCUAAUAUCCAAGAACCCAGAAACCACUGUGAACCCUAUCCCAUAACCCAUAAAUUCUCUUCGUCGCCGUGCUCUUACAACUCAAAUUGUUGUCAUUAAGGGUGGGGGGUAGGAUUGAUUUUUCUGCUUUAGGCUGCUCAUACAUAUUUGAUAUUUUAGGUGUUGGGGACUUUCAUCACUGAAUGGGAUGAGAGAAAGGCUAACUGUGAUAUACUACUUUCAACAAAGGAGUCUGCACAAAUGUAUGCAGAACGUCUGGCAGAGCUUGCUGUUCAUUUAGGCUUUGAUGGGUGGCUAAUAUAUAUUUCUUCAUCUCUCUGUACUUAUAAAGUUUCUAUUCUUGAGCCCUAUGUUCAAUUGCAGAUUUCUUUGAAUUUUUUAGCUCUGACUACUGCAGGAUGCCUCUUCUUCCUCCACUUUUGCUCUUUGUGGUACAAUGUAAGAAACAAGAUGGUGGCAGGUCUUGUCUUCUCUACUUUUCUUCUGUUUUGUGGUUUGCAAGUGUUAUUUAUUUACUUCAUCUUACAUUUGGCUUCAGGUAUAUCCUUGCUACUCUCGAGGCAACGUGAUUCUCUCCUCUCCACACCUUGAACCAGUUUCAUGUGCUCUCAUGGCCAAAGGGUUGCAUGUGUUGGAAACAAUCUUAAUCUGCUGGUUUUGAGUAUUAAAAGCUAAGGUAAAAUUAGUAAUUUCAAUUCCACUCUCUUUCCCUCUUUUUAUGAACACUAAACUCACCCUUAAAGCCUUCACUCAUUUGGGGUCAAUUGCAUGUACACAUACUCUGUAAAUUGGGGUAAUUGAAAGUGUUAGGGAACUGAUUGAAAUGGAGAAAAGAAUUGAAGGUCGGAGCUUGGAAGGACUGUUGAUGGAACAAGAAAACAAGAGGAAUUGCUUAAGUUGUGUAAAAUCCGUAUUUGGGACAGGGCUCCACUCAAACGAGUUAUAUUGAGGUCUAGGCAUGAUUUCGAAGUGGAGGGUCUGAAGCUGAGUUUGUGCAGGAAUAUGGACUGUUCGUGAAGGCAUGCUUUCGAAUUUUGGCUUUAUCAAUGCUUAGCAAUGCAUUUAAUGCUCUGUAAUUCAUAUACUGAUUA